GGAAGUAAAGUCGUAACAAGGUCUCCGUAGGUGAACCUGCGGAGGGAUCAUUAUCGAGUGAAGGGCUUCCGGGCCCGCCCUCCAACCCUUUGCCAUCCAACCAAUGUUGCUUCGGGGGGCGACCCUGCCCCGGCGGCCGACGCCCCCCGGAGGGUAACUCAAACUCUGCGUCAAUUUGCGUCUGAGUAUGUUUUAGAAUUUAAAUCAAAACUUUCAACAACGGAUCUCUUGGUUCUG
rnacentral:misc_RNA from 1 species